GUACUUGCUUCAGCAGCACAUAUACUAAAAUUGGAACGAUACAGAAAAGAUUGGCAUGGCCCCUGUGCAAAGAUGACACGCACCAGAGACACAGCAUCGAGUC